GUUUGCCUACGGGGGGCAGCAGUAGGGAAUCUUCCACAAUGGACGAAAGUCUGAUGGAGCAACGCCGCGUGAGUGAAGAAGGGUUUCGGCUCGGAAAGCUCUGUUGGUAGGGAAGAAAGAUAGAGGUAGUAACUGGCCUUUAUUUGACGGUAAUUACUUAGAAAGUCACGGCUAACUACGUGCCAGCAGCCGCGGUAAUACGUAGGGUGCAAGCGUUGUCCGGAUUUAUUUGG
rnacentral:rRNA from 1 species